rnacentral:rRNA from 4 species
AUGGUUAAGUUAGAAAGGGCGCACGGUGAAUGCCUUGGCACUAGGAGCCGAUGAAGGACGGGACUAACACCGAUAUGCUUCGGGGAGCUGUAAGUGAGCUUUGAUCCGGAGAUUUCCGAAUGGGGAAACCCACUGUUCGUAAUGGAACAGUAUCUUUAUCUGAAUACAUAGGAUAUUGAAGGCAGACCCGGGGAACUGAAACAUCUAAGUACCCGGAGGAAGAGAAAGCAAAUGCGAUUUCCUGAGUAGCGGCGAGCGAAACGGAAUUAGCCCAAACCAAGAGGCUUGCCUCUUGGGGUUGUAGGACACUCUAUACGGAGUUACAAAGGAACGAAGUAAAUGAAGCGACCUGGAAAGGUCCGUCGAAGAAGGUAACAACCCUGUAGUUGAAACUUCGUUCCCUCUUGAGUGGAUCCUGAGUACGGCGGAACACGUGAAAUUCCGUCGGAAGCUGGGAGGACCAUCUCCCAAGGCUAAAUACUACCUAGUGACCGAUAGUGAACCAGUACCGUGAGGGAAAGGUGAAAAGCACCCCGGAAGGGGAGUGAAAGAGAUCCUGAAACCGUGUGCCUACAAGUAGUCAGAGCCCGUUAACGGGUGAUGGCGUGCCUUUUGUAGAAUGAACCGGCGAGUUACGAUCCCAUGCAAGGUUAAGCUGAUAAGGCGGAGCCGUAGCGAAAGCGAGUCUGAAUAGGGCGUUUAGUAUGUGGUUGUAGACCCGAAACCAGGUGAUCUACCCAUGUCCAGGGUGAAGUUCAGGUAACACUGAAUGGAGGCCCGAACCCACGCACGUUGAAAAGUGCGGGGAUGAGGUGUGGGUAGCGGAGAAAUUCCAAUCGAACCUGGAGAUAGCUGGUUCUCUCCGAAAUAGCUUUAGGGCUAGCCUCAUGUUGUGAGAGUCUUGGAGGUAGAGCACUGAUUGGACUAGGGGCCCCCAACGGGUUACCGAAUUCAGUCAAACUCCGAAUGCCAAAGACUUAUCCAUGGGAGUCAGACUGCGAGUGAUAAGAUCCGUAGUCAAAAGGGAAACAGCCCAGACCACCAGCUAAGGUCCCCAAGUAUACGUUAAGUGGAAAAGGAUGUGGAGUUGCUUAGACAACCAGGAUGUUGGCUUAGAAGCAGCCACCAUUUAAAGAGUGCGUAAUAGCUCACUGGUCGAGUGACUCUGCGCCGAAAAUGUACCGGGGCUAAACGUAUCACCGAAGCUGUGGAUUGACAUCUUAGAUGUCAGUGGUAGGAGAGCGUUCUAAGUGCUGUGAAGUCAGACCGUAAGGACUGGUGGAGCGCUUAGAAGUGAGAAUGCCGGUAUGAGUAGCGAAAGACAAGUGAGAAUCUUGUCCACCGAAUGCCUAAGGUUUCCUGAGGAAGGCUCGUCCGCUCAGGGUUAGUCGGGACCUAAGCCGAGGCUGAAAAGCGUAGGCGAUGGCCAACAGGUUGAUAUUCCUGUACCACCUCCCCGCCGUUUGAGUAAUGGGGGGACGCAGUAGGAUAGGGUAAGCGCGCUGCUGGAUAUGCGCGUUCAAGCAGUUAGGCUGAUGAGUAGGCAAAUCCGCUCAUCAUAAAGGCUGAGCUGUGAUGACGAGGGAAUUAUAGUACCGAAGUUCCUGAUUCCACACUGCCAAGAAAAGCCUCUAGCGAGGCGGGAGGUGCCCGUACCGCAAACCGACACAGGUAGGCGAGGAGAGAAUCCUAAGGUGAUCGAGAGAACUCUCGUUAAGGAACUCGGCAAAAUGACCCCGUAACUUCGGGAGAAGGGGUGCUCUGGUAGGGUGUAUAGCCCGAGAGAGCCGCAGUGAAUAGGCCCAGGCGACUGUUUAGCAAAAACACAGGUCUCUGCGAAGCCGCAAGGCGAAGUAUAGGGGCUGACGCCUGCCCGGUGCUGGAAGGUUAAGAGGAGGGGUUAUCCUUUGGGAGAAGCUCUGAAUCGAAGCCCCAGUAAACGGCGGCCGUAACUAUAACGGUCCUAAGGUAGCGAAAUUCCUUGUCGGGUAAGUUCCGACCCGCACGAAAGGCGUAACGAUCUGGGCACUGUCUCAACGAGAGACUCGGUGAAAUUAUAGUACCUGUGAAGAUGCAGGUUACCCGCGACAGGACGGAAAGACCCCGUGGAGCUUUACUGUAGCCUGAUAUUGAAUUUUGGUACAGCUUGUACAGGAUAGGUAGGAGCCUGAGAAGCCGGAGCGCUAGCUUCGGUGGAGGCGUCGGUGGGAUACUACCCUGGCUGUAUUGAAAUUCUAACCCGCGGCCCUGAUCGGGCCGGGAGACAGUGUCAGGUGGGCAGUUUGACUGGGGCGGUCGCCUCCUAAAAUGUAACGGAGGCGCCCAAAGGUUCCCUCAGAAUGGUUGGAAAUCAUUCGUAGAGUGUAAAGGCACAAGGGAGCUUGACUGCGAGACCUACAAGUCGAGCAGGGACGAAAGUCGGGCUUAGUGAUCCGGUGGUUCCGCAUGGAAGGGCCAUCGCUCAACGGAUAAAAGCUACCCCGGGGAUAACAGGCUUAUCUCCCCCAAGAGUCCACAUCGACGGGGAGGUUUGGCACCUCGAUGUCGGCUCAUCGCAUCCUGGGGCUGUAGUCGGUCCCAAGGGUUGGGCUGUUCGCCCAUUAAAGCGGUACGCGAGCUGGGUUCAGAACGUCGUGAGACAGUUCGGUCCCUAUCCGUCGUGGGCGUAGGAAAUUUGAGAGGAGCUGUCCUUAGUACGAGAGGACCGGGAUGGACACACCGCUGGUGUACCAGUUGUCUUGCCAAAGGCAUCGCUGGGUAGCUAUGUGUGGACGGGAUAAGUGCUGAAAGCAUCUAAGCAUGAAGCCCCCCUCAAGAUGAGAUUUCCCAUAGCGCAAGCUAGUAAGAUCCCUGAAAGAUGAUCAGGUUGAUAGGUCAGAGGUGGAAGCGUGGCGACAUGUGUAGCUGACUGAUACUAAUCGAUCGAGGACUUAACCAAAC